GUUACUUUUCCUCACUCAGCCAAUGACAGUGAAGCAGCGACACCAUCCCAGUGAGGACUGGUGACAUGUCAACACCUCUGGAAGACGACAGUGAAGUUUAAAGAGGAGAAGAUGAGAUGAUGGGCCUCUGGUGCAGAGAGACUUUCAGUGACUUCAUAUCAAACAGAGGAGAAGAAGACACACAGCAAGAUGUGAAGUCUCCGUGUGCGGAUCGUUCCCAUGGAUAUUUCUUCAAAACCUCAGACCUGAUGACGUCACUCUGGAGCUGCCACACAUGCAGGAGUUUGCCAGCAAACAAACGGAUGCAAUUAAACUCAUGAGCCGUCAGAUCAUCAAUGAGGAGGAGAGUCAAGACUGGCAGGAAGGAGACAAGGACGAAUAAAAGACGAGAGAGAGGACAGAGAGGACAGAGAGG